rnacentral:rRNA from 1 species
AACGAACGCUGGCGGCAGGCUUAACACAUGCAAGUCGAGCGCCCCGCAAGGGGAGCGGCAGACGGGUGAGUAACGCGUGGGAAUCUACCCAUCUCUACGGAAUAACGCAUGGAAACGUGUGCUAAUACCGUAUACGUCCUUCGGGAGAAAGAUUUAUCGGAGAUGGAUGAGCCGGCGUUGGAUUAGCUAGUUGGUGGGGUAAAGGCCUACCAAGGCGACGAUCCAUAGCUGGUCUGAGAGGAUGAUCAGCCGCACUGGGACUGAGACACGGCCCAGACUCCUGCGGGAGGCAGCAGUGGGGAAUAUUGGACAAUGGGCGCAAGCCUGAUCCAGCCAUGCCGCGUGAGUGAUGAAGGCCCUAGGGUUGUAAAGCUCUUUCACCGGUGAAGAUAAUGACGGUAACCGGAGAAGAAGCCCCGGCUAACUUCGUGCCAGCCGCCGCGGUAAUAC